rnacentral:pre_miRNA from 1 species
AGUGGAAUUGCUGGGUCAUAUGUUCUAUUUUUGUUUUUUGAGGAACAGCCACAUUGUUUUCCACAAUGGCUGUACCAUUUUGCAUUUCCACCAGCAAU